rnacentral:rRNA from 1 species
GACGAACGCUGGCGGCGUGCCUAACACAUGCAAGUCGAACGGAACUGUUUUGAAAGAUUUCUUCGGAAUGAAUUUGAUUUAGUUUAGUGGCGGACGGGUGAGUAACGCGUGAGUAACCUGCCUUCAAGAGGGGGAUAACAUUCUGAAAAGAAUGCUAAUACCGCAUGACAUAUCGGAAUCACAUGAUUUUGAUAUCAAAGAUUUUAUCGCUUGAAGAUGGACUCGCGUCCGAUUAGUUAGUUGGUGAGGUAACGGCUCACCAAGACCGCGAUCGGUAGCCGGACUGAGAGGUUGAACGGCCACAUUGGGACUGAGACACGGCCCAGACUCCUACGGGAGGCAGCAGUGGGGGAUAUUGCGCAAUGGGGGCAACCCUGACGCAGCAACGCCGCGUGAAGGAUGAAGGUUUUCGGAUUGUAAACUUCUUUUAUUAAGGACGAAACU